UUGGGCCUAAUACAUUUUUUUCUGUUGAAAAUAUACUUGAAGCUGUGAAAUUUGAGUAUCAAAGCGGAGGGCCGAGUUCUGAAGUCCCCAAAUUUCAAGUUUUCUUCAGUGAUAAAACCCUAAAUGAUUUUAACAUACUCUUCAAUUACCUCCCUCAGAACAGGAACUAUUAUGCAGCGGGUGUGCCAGGUUCUUUCCACGGUCGCUUGUUUCCCAAGGCUUCCAUUAACUUUUUUCACUCUUCAUUAGCCCUUCAUUGGCUUUCUAGGGUACCAAAAGAUGUAAUGGACAAAAACAGUCGUGCUUGGAAUAAAGGACGAAUCCACUACUCAAAUAACCAAGACGAAGUAUUGAAGGCAUAUCAAUCUCAAUAUGCUGAGGACAUGGAUUGUUUCCUCCGUGCCAGAGCACUUGAGACUGUGCAUCGAGGAUUGAUUGUGCUUAACCUACUAGGACGCCCUCUUAACUGUAUUGAAAUUGUGGGUUUUGACAUUUUUGGAUCUUGCCUCGUGGAGAUGGCUACGAAGGUAAGCAAUAUUCAUCAACCUGCAUACACCGGUCUAUUAACUUGGUUUCUAGCUUUUUUUCUUUCCGAGUAGAGGUAUUUAACGGAUUUUGAAUGUUUAAAAAAUUGAUCAAUGUCAAGGUAACUGGAGAGUUUUAUGUCACAUAUUUCAUAUUGCAAGUAUUGUUGCUUUAUGCAGUAUUUCAGAAGAUCGUAUCUUAGAUAUAUAUAUAUGGGUGCAUGAUUAAUACUAUAUGUUUUUCGUUGACAUAUAGGGGGUAAUUAGUGAAGAAAAAGUAGAUUCAUUUAACAUCCCUUCCUACUUCGUGUCUCCCCAAGAACUGGAAGUCAUUGUGGAACGAAAUGGAUGCUUUAGCAUAGAGAUAUUGGAAACCUUACCUCAGCAUGUCUUGAGUGGCUCUCCCAGUGCUCCUGCUAUGAGAGCUUUCACUGAGGGACUGAUCAAGCAACAAUUUGGAGAAGAAAUCUUAGAUGAUCUCUUCAGCUUGUAUCACCAGAAACUUGAAGAGCAAAUGUCGAUAGCUGAGUCAAAGAAGGCAGUUGUCCUUUUUGUUGUGCUUAAACGCAAGACUAAUUGAUUUGAACAUUCAUUGUUUAUUUGUUUGUAUUCCUGAAACUCUCUGUUUGUUGGUUAUUUAGUAUUGAAGAGUAGAUUUUAAGUGAGCUUCACUCUGUAUAACAAUGGAAAGAUAUUAGCUACCUAUACUCGACAGUGCAUCUGCAAGUGUCAUAAUGUCCCAUACUUUGAUUCUUAUCGCAAAAUCGUCAAAAAAAUCCGUUAGUAAUGCACAAAUGAAACCCACUAUGUCGAUGAAAUGAAACCCACUCAUGAGUUCCAUGAUGUGUCCAACAAAAAAAUAAUGAAAAAACUAAGGGACAAAUCUUGUUUAUGUCAGGGGAGGGAAGAGGAUAAGAACCUGGAAUGCAAUGGGUUGAAGAUGUAGUUCCAAAUUGUCCUACAAAUAAUAUGCUUCCACAUGUUUUAAAAGUAGUCUUUUCAAAUUAAAAUUGCACGAUUUAAGUUACAAUGUUUACAAUAAUUACGGUUGAUUAGGAAUCUGUAGUACUAUUUUAACACCACUUUUAUCUUAGUUUGACUACAUAAGAGCUAGAUGAGGGUGAAGAACGAACAAUGUUGUUUACUGCAGCAUGAUGAAGGAUCGUACCCAGUGCACAAGGCUCCCGCUUUACGCAGGGUCGGGGAGAGGUGAAUGUCGGCUAGCCUUAUCCCCAUUUAUGGAGAGACUGCUCCCAAGUCUCGAACCCGAGACCUGCAGCAUGAUGAAGGAUGGUUACAUGAAAUAUGGAUAUGUAGAAGCAGCUAAAGAACACAUGGCUUCAGAACGGGUCCAAACAGAGUGUUAUCAUCAUCAGGCUUCAGAGCGAUUCCGAACAUAUCAGUACAAAUAGAGUCAUAUAAACGGAUUUGGAGAGCUGGAGCAGCAAGUGUAUAAUAAACAGCAACUUUGGUCUUUUUGAACCGGAACUAAUCUUUUGGGCUCGUGAAAGACCUAAAUGAUGGUCAAGAAUCGAACAAUGUUUUUUACUGCAACACGAUGAAUAAUGGUUACAUGCAAUAUGGAUAUGUAGAAGGAGCCAAAGAAUUGUUUGAAAAGCAUAUGUGUCCAGCCUGAUAUUGUGGAGCCUUUGCUAGGCUCUCUUAUAAAGCUAAUAGAGUGUUGGGCGUGCCAUUGUUGGCCAAGACCAACAGAUUUUAGAUUGCUUUAGGUGUUUGAGUUGUUUAUUUACGCCGUAAGUUACAUAAGCUUUUUAAUCAACAGAUUGUUUAUGGAGGGGUUAAGUCCAUAAUGAGUUCUUUUCUAUGCCUUGAAGACAAGGACCUAUAAUUUUGUGUUAAAUGUGAAUUGAUCAUGAAUUAACCAAUAAUAAUUUGAGUUUCAUUAUCAUGGUUAGUUAAAAGAAAUAAAACAGAGAGGGAAGACAAACAGAUAUUGAGGAGGUACUUAAACUGAAAAGCUUGCAGUAAUUCAUAGUGUAAAUAAAAAUGACAGUACAAUGUAUGUAAAAGUCAUAAUUGACGCAAUGAGUAAUGAACAUAAGAGUUUAAACUAAGUUUUAACCUAUCCGGGCAAACUUCUUGCAGUGGAAAGAGUACAAACUUGAAUGGAAAACAAAGGAAAUAACAACAAAGAAAUCGAUACUACAAAAAGAUGUAGCAGAGCUAGACACUGUAAAGGUGAUGACUGGACUGCAAAAAGAAUGCAAAGAAACUGACAGAGUUUUAAGAGUCUUUUUUAAAGUUGAGUUGAGUGUCCUUUUCUCCAUGCUUCCCCGCCGCUUUUAUAGAGUUUUAUUCUCUGUGAUUAAACUUCUUCCUUCUCAUCCAAUAAAUUUAUGCAAUAGGUUGUCAAGCGGUAGCAAACUGUUGAUUAUUAUUACAAUAACUUUUCAAACUAUUCUCACGCAUCAGAACACGUCAUCGUUAUCAACUAGCCACCUUAGACUUUUCCAUUAGUUUUUUCUUAUUGCCUUAGGAUUAUAGAGUGAAGUUGUAGCCAAUAAACUGCACAUAUAAAUAAGAAUGAUUCCCACGAUACCAUUCACAUACCCGUAACCAGUUAAAGAGCAAGAGAGAGAAAUGGCAGCUGCAGUUAGUGGCGAAGCCACGUGAGGGCAAGGAGUGGCGGCCGUCACUCCCCUCGUCGGAGAUGAAGCCUAGGAGCAAGUACCCGCCCUUCCUCUCACCGGAAAUGAAGCCCUGUUUUUUGUUGCAGCUGCACAAAUGCUGCGCGCGCAGUGGCGAGCCAUAGAGAUGCAAGGAGGUGUGAUCGCACCUCCAGGCAUCAGAACUCGACUCUAAGAGCGAUAAGCCGUCCCUCCGGACGUCAUCCCUAAGAACCUGCACUAAAACAAUGAAAUUUCACAUAUCUUCUCGCGAGGAAGAAGAAUUGUAGCACAUUUCAGUUUAUUGGCUUUAAGAGGAAUGGUGCCGUUACGUUUAUUGGCUUUAAGAGGAACUGUGUCGUCAUGUUUAUUGGCUUUAAUGGAACGAUGCUGUUACGGGUAUAGGCUUUUGACUUAGUUAUAUCUACAACCCACAUGAAACUGGUUCGGCCCAAUUUUUGGGCUCUUUUUCGUUUUUCUUUUUAUUUUGUUUAAUAUUUUAUUAAAAUGAAGGCAUUUUGGUGCUGUGAUUAUCCCUCGAUUUCAUUUUUUUAGUUGUUUUAAUUAUGUCAAGUUGCCACUUAGUACAACAGUCUAAUAGUAUUUCUCUUCACUUGUAAGUGAUAGGUCUUAGGUUUAAUUCACGUAAAAGGCGAAUUUGAACCAUAUUAUUAGUAACUCAUUAUAAGGCUUAGCCUACUCUCUCACCCAUUAAUGAUAAUAUCGUUUGUUCAAAAAAAAAAAAAAAAAAAAAAAAAAAAAAAAAAAAAAAUAUAUAUAUAUAUAUAUAUAUAUAUAUAUUAUAUAUCAAGUUGGUUAUUGUGUCUUUUGUUAGACAUCUCUAAUCUACUUUAUGAAUUUAAUGAUAGUAUAUAAUUCAGUUAAGAGCCAUAAUUUUGAGAAUGUUAAUCAAAUGAAUAUAUUAAUUAGUACUUAUAUCGUCGAUAUACAUUCCACAAAAAAGUAUACAUGUUAACUUUUCAUCAGAAUACCACACUUACAAAAAUGAUGUUCUUUUCAUCUACUUGUACCAUCUCUUUAAUAGAGAUGACACUCACAUGUAUUGGUGGACUCUACCUCUAUUAAAGAGUUUUCCUUAAACACCAACACACUGCCCCCAUCAACUCGCAUGACCAACACCACACCGCAGCUGACACGGCCACCAUCACUGACAAACAGAUCGCUUGCUAGGACACAUCUAAAAUUGGCUAAUUGCAUUCAUAUUCAUAUUUGGAUGAGGAUUUUCUAAGUUCCAAAGGAAUGAUGCCAAAUUAUUAGGGAAAGUAACACAAAAUAUGAACAACAUUGUAACUUGUUUAUAUUGACAAAUUAUGAACGACUUUAAUUUUAUUUACUAUCUGAAAUGAUGUGGGUGUCGAUAUUUUUUUGGACCUUUUACCUUUUGAAAUUUCGCCCCUCCCCCCCCCCGGGCCGAAAAUUUCUGGCUUCGCCACUGGUGUAGAAGUUUUUUGGUAAUGUUUCUGAAGCAUACCCAAUGACAGGUGGAGAUGGCCCCAACAGCUAUGCCAAGAACUCUAUACGGCAGGUUCUGCUUAUGUAGCCUUCACUAGUAUAUAUUAGGAAAUUCUCACGAUGCGUUUUUUUGGUUCAACUAGUAAAAGUUGCAAAUUAAACUAUUCAUUUAUCAUAAUAUUUUUCCAUUCCUUUCUGUGCUUUUGUAGAAAGGAGUUGUUGAUGCUGCCAAAUAAUUCUAACCAAGGGUAUUAAACAAAAUCUUGAUCUGGACAUCUUCUUACCUUGCAACACCUUCCAUAUUGCAGAUUUGCGUUACUCGGUUGGGCCUAAUACAUUUUUCUCGGUUGAAAACAUACCUGAAGCUGUGAAAUUCGAGUAUCAAAGCCAAGGGCUAAGUUCUCAAAUUACCGAAUUUCAAGCUUUUUUUCCACUGAUCAUACCCUAAAUGAUUUUAACAUGCUCUUCAAAUCCCUCCCGCAGAACAGGAACUACUAUGCAGUGGGUGUGCCAGGUUCUUUCUACGGUUUGCUUGUUUCCUAAUAAGGCUUCCAUUCCCUUUUUUCACUCGUCAUUAGCGGUUCAUUGGCUUUCUAGAGUACCAAAAGAUGUAACGAAAAAAAACAGUGGAGCUUGGAAUAAAGGACGAAUCCACUACUCAAAUUCCCAAGACGAAGUAGUCAAGGCUUAUCAAGCUCAAUAUUCUGAGGACAUGGAGUGUUUCCUCCAUGCCAGGGCGCUAGAGACUCUGCAUGGAGGAUUGGUAGAGCUUACCCUUUUAGGACGCCACAAUGGUACCCCUCAUUCUCACUCUCUAGGAAAUGUGACUCUUUGACAUUUUAGGAUCUUGCCUCCAGGACAGGGCUAGGAAGGUAAGCAAUAUCCAUACAUCACUACUCUAUGUUUGAUAUUGUAGUAAAACUACAUCAUAAUAAUAUUAUACUUUGUUAUGUAAAAUCUAAUAGUUCGGAAGAACAAAUUUUAUUCAGGUAUUGAGGACUAAUAUAUUGUUUUUUUUAAUCAUUUUAAUUAUCAAUGGACUAGUAAAUCUGCCUUGUAAAUUUAUUAAAGAUAAUGCUAUUCACACACCUAUUUUCUCUCACAUACCUUUGUAAUUUUUUUGUUAUUGAUCAUCUUCAAUUUAUACGAUCAGACGGUUGAAAAUUGAGAUGAGUGUGUGAGAAGUAAAUAUGGGUUUGUGAAUUGCACUACCCCUUUAUUAAAUUGGUUAGUUGAAUAAGUUUUCAUUUUUUACUGAGAGGGUGUAUUUUAAUGAAUUUUCAAUGUUUAGUAAUUAAGGUGGUGAAUGAGCAUAAAAGUAACAAUAAAAUAGUAGUCGUGUGACAAUGAUAUAUGAAUGUCAAAGAUACAUAUAAAAAUCAAUUCAACGUAAUUUGAGUGUUUUAUGUCCUUUUUUUUUUUCUCAACGCUUUAGAAAAUUAGAUUCAUUUAACAUCCCUUCAUACUUCUCCCCAAAAACUGGAAGUCGUUGUAGAACGAAAUGGAUGCUUUUAGCAUACAGAUUUUGGAAACCAUACUCAUCUUGUCCUGGAACAUGGCGAUCUCUCUAUAGCUAAACGUAGUGCAUCUACUGUUGAGUUUUGGUUUCAAUAUUUGUUGUAUAUUUCAUUAUGAAUGUUACAAGAGAGUGAAGGCAACUCUUAUAGAGAGUCAAAAGAAAGCUACAAUAGAUUGUAGGAUAACUACACAAACACAAUCCCUAAAAUCUGCCCUAACAAGUGGAAAAACAAAAACCAAAUUACAAGUAAAUAAGUUUUUACAAGCAAUUAAGAAAGGUUGAUGUAAGGUGAAUGACAAGGGUUGAUGUAAGGUGAAUGACAAACUAUGAAAAGUGAGGUUGAUGUAAAGUGAAUGACAAGUUAUGGAAAUGGACUUUAGCCUAUGACUUAGCUAAAGUGAGGAUGACAACUCAUACAUACAACCUAUCCAUACAAACCGGUUACAACCCAUCCAUACAAACCGGUUACAACCCAUCCAUACAAACCGGUUUCAAUAUCUACCAUGAGAGCUGCCACAGAGGGACUCAUUAAGCAACAAUUUGGAGAAGAAAUCUCAGAUGAUCUCUUCAACUUGUAUCAGCAAAAACUUGAAGAGCAAAUCUCAAUAUUUACGUCAAAGGAGUUGGUUAUCUUUUUUUGUUGUGCUUAAACGCAAGACAAAUUGAUUUGAGCAUGCUGUUUUAGUGUUCACGAAACUAUCUGUUAAAUUUCCUAAUGUUAGUUAUUUAAUAAUGAAGAGUAGAUUAGAAGUAUGUUUUUUUAGUACAAUGAUAUAUUUUACACUAAAGGGAGAUGGGAGUUCAGCUAAGCCACACAAUGAGUAACUUAAUUUGGUAUCGAAUUCGCCAUUCACGAGAUUCGAACCUAAACCUGUCAUUUACAAGUGAAGAGGCAUACCACCAAAUUGUAGUACUGAGUGGCAGAUUAGAAGUAUGUUAGCUACCUAAAAUACACAAGAGCCAUAACUCAAUAUGGUGGUUAGUUAUUUACCCCAAAAAUUAAAGUGCCUAAUCAGAAGAUAAAAAGUUAAGGCUUAAAUAUUGUUGUAACGUCCUGUUUGGGCCCAAAAUAUAAAUUUAGGGUGAGAAUGAGUAAUUUGGAAUAAAAAGCCCGUUAUUUGGCCCAUCAUUGGUUUCGUGAGUUAAGAGUGUUCCGGACCUAUACGACAUCAGCCCAACUGAGUCCUUAUGACUGAAGAAUUGUGAAGGGAUCACGUUUGAGCAAGUCUCGGUCGAGUCUUAGAUGAACAAAAACUUUUAGAGUGCGUUUGUUGCACUGGACUAUUUCGGAUUGGACUAACUUCAAGGAUUAAGCUGGAUUGGCUUAUAAUAGACUAAGUUGGACUAAAUUAGUGAAACAUUUAGUUUAGCGCCGAACUAAAAAUCAAAAUAAUUACAACCUUUAAUAUUACAUUAUUUAAUACAUAUCUAUUAAUAUUUUAAUACAUACUUAUUAAUAUUUUAUUAUUAUGCAACAUUUUUCAUUUUCUUAAGAACUCUCCCUCUCCCUAGAAACUUCUUUGCUUUUCUCCCUCUUUGACCCCGUCAUAUUCUCUUCGUUUCUCCAUCUUUUUUCUGCAAAAUUUCAGAUCCUUCAAAAUUAUUUUUAUUGCAAGACGCAAUUUUUUCAAGAGAUUUUUCUGACCACUGUCCUGAUUUUGCAAUGCGAGAUCACCGUCUUGCAUUUGCAGUACGAGAUCGCUGUCCUGUUUUUCCAGUACGUGAUCGAAGUCCUUCUUUGCCAGAUCGAAUUCUGCAGAUUCUCAACCCGCAAUUUGAAACUUUGAAAUUGUUUUGAAUAAGGAAAAGAAGAGGAGGAAGAUGAGGAAAGGAGUACCUUGAGUCAUUACCCGUGAGAGGAAGAGAGGCUGGACUGCAAAAAUAGAGAAGCAUGAGUCGCCGCCGUUGAUCGAUUUCUCUGAAAUAACCCAUCAAUCCUCAGCGUCGCCUCCACAGAAGGGUGAGAUCGAUUUGAUGAAUAGUCAUCGAUCUGCUACUGUUGUUACUGUUGAUCUGCGAAGAAUGAGAUCCAUGGGUCCGAAAGUAGAAAGGGCAAGAUCAACUUAGCAGUCUAGCUAUUUUUGGAAGGUCUCGCUAAGACCCUUUAGUGAAGGCUUUAGUGAACGCGAGUCCCUCAUAAUCCCACUAAUGAUUAUCUAAGUUGGGGUAACGUGGAGUGCAUGUGGCUAUUUGGCACCAACUCUGAUACCAUGAAGAGAGUUGGGGUUCCACCAUAAAAUCAAUUGACAAUAUGGGGAGUAGCCCAACCUCUUAUAAACUCAUGCAAGGUCUCUCCUCUCAUCAAUGUGGAACAUUCUUAACAAACUGAAAUCAGGAUUUUAAAACAAAUUGAAUAAUAUUAAAGUGAUUAAUGAAGACUUGUACUUUGAAAUACACAAUUAAAAUUCCAACAACAUCAAAUUACAGGUGGCACAAUAUACACCAUUUAAUUAUUUUCAUGGUGACCAUCCAUUACAAACAAUUACAAACUCAGACAUUUCUUUAACUCUAAACCUGAAAACCAGUUCUCUUCCAAUCUGCAAACCAUCAAUCCUUGCAGCCACAAAGCUUAUGGUUCAGCAAUUCGGAACGGUUGAAUCCGCAUUCAAACUGCACAGCAGCCACCGUUUCCAUAUAGUUGAUAAGUUGUGUCUUAUAAUUGAUGUCUUUCUAUAAUUAAAUAAUAGCCAUUGAUAUUGCAUCGAAGUCAAACUGAUGACCAUUAUAAUUUACAGAAAGUUGACUAGUCUUAAUGAAGAGUUGUGGCUGAUUUAAAAGUGUGCUGCCGAAUGGAUGUACGCUAUGCGAAGAGAAACAGUAGCCUCUACAAGUAGAGGGCUUACAGGCUGAUGAUCAUCUAAUUUAUUACUUCUUUUUUUUUUUUAUAGAAAUUUUGCUGGUAUUUCGGUACUGUUCGGGACUGGGGCUUGAGUCCAAAUCGUUGGGUUUUCUAUAUUAUUUUGAAUUUUGGGCUGAAAUUUGGUCAGCUCAACUUUUAAUAUAUUGUGAUACUUGUGGUUCUUCCAUCUAAUUUAUUUUUUAUAUUAUUUUGUACUUAUCUCACAGAUCAGAACACGGCAUCUUUACCAACUACCAAUGACUUUUCCCCAUUAUUCUCUUCUUCUUGCCUACGGAUUAUAUUUGUGGAGUGACUCCCACAUACCACCCACAACUCCCAUAUAAACAAAUAGAGAGAGAGAGAGAGAGAGAGAUGACAGCUGCAAUGGGGGAUUCCACUAAUGUUUCUGAGGCAUAUCCAAUGAAAGGUGGAGAUGGCCCCGACAGCUAUGCCAAGAAUUCUAUCGAACAGGUUCUGCUAAUUGAUGAAAAAUCUUUUUUUUUUAUUUCUUUUUAUUCAGCCUUUACUACUUGGAAAUUCUUACGAAAAUGUUUUCUUCAUUAGUUAACUUGGAAAAGAGAAAAUUUUCUUCUUUCGUAAUCCUUUCUGUUGGUAUUAGGAAAUUCCAAGGAAGUUGCAAAAUCUGAACAUAUUAGCAUUAUAAUGUGAUUUGUGCUUUCGCAGAAAGUAGUUGUUGAUGCUACCAAAGAACUUCUAAGCAAGGCUAUUAAGAAAAGCUUGAACUGGACAUGUUUUUACCAUUCAACACCUUCCAUAUUGCAGAUUUGGGUUGUUCGGUUGGGCCUAAUACAUUUUUUUCUGUUGAAAAUAUACUUGAAGCUGUGAAAUUUGAGUAUCAAAGCGGAGGGCCGAGUUCUGAAGUCCCCAAAUUUCAAGUUUUCUUCAGUGAUAAAACCCUAAAUGAUUUUAACAUACUCUUCAAUUACCUCCCUCAGAACAGGAACUAUUAUGCAGCGGGUGUGCCAGGUUCUUUCCACGGUCGCUUGUUUCCCAAGGCUUCCAUUAACUUUUUUCACUCUUCAUUAGCCCUUCAUUGGCUUUCUAGG
rnacentral:lncRNA from 1 species